UGCCAGCCGCCGCGGUAAUACAGAGGGUGCAAACGUUGUUCGGAAUCACUGGGCGUAAAGCGGGUGUAGGCGGCAAGGCAAGUCGGAUGUGAAAUCCCAGGGCUCAACCCUGGAAGUGCACUCGAAACUGCCUAGCUAGAGUCCUGGAGAGGAAGGUGGAAUGCUUGGUGUAGAGGUGAAAUUCGUAGAUAUCAAGCGGAACACCGGUGGCGAAGGCGGCCUUCUGGACAGUGACUGACGCUGAGACCCGAAAGCGUGGGGAGCAAACAGGAUUAGAUA
rnacentral:rRNA from 1 species